UGAGGGAUGACGGCCUUCGGGUUGUAAACCUCUUUCAGUAGGGAAGAACCAAAGUGACGGUACCUGCAGAAAAAGCGCCGGCUAACUACGUGCCAGCAGCCGCGGUAAUACGUAGGGCGCAAGCGUUAUCCGGAUUUAUUGGGCGUAAAGAGCUCCUAGGCGGUUUGUCCCGUCUGCCGUGAAAGUCCCAGGCUCAACCUCGGAUCUGCGGUGGGUACGGGCAGACUAGAGUGAUGUAGGGGAGACUGGAAUUCCUGGUGUAGCGGUGAAAUGCGCAGAUAUCAGGAGGAACACCGAUGGCGAAGGCAGGUCUCUGGGCAUCUAC
rnacentral:rRNA from 1 species